rnacentral:rRNA from 1 species
CAGUAGCCGCGGGAAUACGUAGGUGGCAAGCGUUGUCCGGAAUUAUUGGGCGUAAAGGGUGCGUAGGCGGACUGAUAAGUCAGGGGUGAAAUCCCAAGGCUCAACCUUGGAACUGCCUUUGAUACUGUUAGUCUUGAGUUCGAGAGAGGUGAGUGGAACUGCGAGUGUAGAGGUGAAAUUCGUAGAUAUUCGCAAGAACACCAGUGGCGAAGGCGGCUCACUGGCUCGAAACUGACGCUGAGGCACGAAAGCGUGGGGAGCAAACAGGAUUAGAUACCCCCGUAGUCCCUGUCUCUUAUAC